ACGGCGGCGGCGACGGCGCCGCCGCGGGGCAUCGCCCUCCACGCUGGCUGCGCGCUCGCAGCGCUCCCUGCCCUCAGUACUCACAGCUGGCCCGCUUCAGUGCGCGGUAACAAAGGCCGAAAGAGAUAAACAAUUCCCGGCGUGAGGCGACGGUAGCCAGACCGGGACCUCCUAAAGCAGCACCCGAGCAAGCGCGGAGUGAUGACGCAACAGGCCGUUUGGGCUUUUUUUUCCCCCUGUCCAAACGGAGCUAGAUCGGAAAAUGUCCUCGGUGUGCGCUGUUGCCACGGUGAGAGAACUCACUGCAUUCAAAGCAGAAUCAACCUUCAAUAUUGAAGAUUUCAGAUUUGGAGAAUCAAAUACAUAUCUUCCUCCCAGGUGGCUGGGAUUACAGGUGUGCACCCCACAGCUGCCUCCAGCCAGCACUCUUCUUUGCAUCUGACUGAAAGAUCCACUUACCCAAGAUGA
rnacentral:lncRNA from 1 species